GACGAACGCUGGCGGCGUGCCUAAUACAUGCAAGUAGAACGCUGAAGAGAGGAGCUUGCUCUUCUUGGAUGAGUUGCGAACGGGUGAGUAACGCGUAGGUAACCUGCCUUGUAGCGGGGGAUAACUAUUGGAAACGAUAGCUAAUACCGCAUAACAAUGGAUGACACAUGUCAUUUAUUUGAAAGGGGCAAUUGCUCCACUACAAGAUGGACCUGCGUUGUAUUAGCUAGUAGGUGAGGUAAUGGCUCACCUAGGCGACGAUACAUAGCCGACCUGAGAGGGUGAUCGGCCACACUGGGACUGGGACACGGCCCAGACUCCUACGGGAGGCAGCAGUAGGGAAUCUUCGGCAAUGGGGGCAACCCUGACCGAGCAACGCCGCGUGAGUGAAGAAGGUUGUCGGAUCGUAAAGCUCUGUUGUAAGUCAAGAACGGGUGUGAGAGUGGAAAGUUCACACUGUGACGGUAGCUUACCAGAAAGGGACGGCUAACUACGUG
rnacentral:rRNA from 1 species